rnacentral:tRNA from 1 species
UCCUUCGUGGUUCAGAUGGUAAAGAAUCUGCCUGCAAUGCAGGAGACCCAGGUUCCAUCCUUGGCUCAGGAA